UUUUUGCCGCGCGCGACGGUGGUGAACCC
rnacentral:sRNA from 1 species